UACGUAGGGUGCAAGCGUUGUCCGGAAUUAUUGGGCGUAAAGAGCUCGUAGGCGGUUUGUCACGUCUGCUGUGAAAACGCGGGGCUCAACCCCCAGCCUGCAGUGGGUACGGGCAGACUAGAGUGCGGUAGGGGAGAUUGGAAUUCCUGGUGUAGCGGUGGAAUGCGCAGAUAUCAGGAGGAACACCGAUGGCGAAGGCAGAUCUCUGGGCCGUAACUGACGCUGAGGAGCGAAAGCGUGGGGAGCGAACAGG
rnacentral:rRNA from 1 species